GGACAUGGGAGUCUCUGGUACCUGCUUGA
rnacentral:piRNA from 1 species